rnacentral:rRNA from 1 species
CGACAUGUACAGCACUCUUCCCCAGAUCUGAGUUUCACCCGUACAAGAGUUUGAUUCCUGGCUCAGAUUGAACGCUGGCGGCAGGCUUAACACAUGCAAGUCGAAGCGGGGUGAUGGUGCUUGCACUAUCACUUAGCGGCGGACGGGUGAGUAAUGCUUAGGAAUCUGCCUAUUAGUGGGGGACAACAUCUCGAAAGGGAUGCUAAUACCGCAUACGUCCUACGGGAGAAAGCAGGGGAUCACUUGUGACCUUGCGCUAAUAGAUGAGCCUAAGUCGGAUUAGCUAGUUGGUGGGGUAAAGGCCUACCAAGGCGACGAUCUGUAGCGGGUCUGAGAGGAUGAUCCGCCACACUGGGACUGAGACACGGCCCAGACUCCUACGGGAGGCAGCAGUGGGGAAUAUUGGACAAUGGGGGGAACCCUGAUCCAGCCAUGCCGCGUGUGUGAAGAAGGCCUUAUGGUUGUAAAGCACUUUAAGCGAGGAGGAGGCUCUUUUGGUUAAUACCCAAGAUGAGUGGACGUUACUCGCAGAAUAAGCACCGGCUAACUCUGUGCCAGCAGCCGCGGUAAUACAGAGGGUGCAAGCGUUAAUCGGAUUUACUGGGCGUAAAGCGCGCGUAGGCGGCCAAUUAAGUCAAAUGUGAAAUCCCCGAGCUUAACUUGGGAAUUGCAUUCGAUACUGGUUGGCUAGAGUGUGGGAGAGGAUGGUAGAAUUCCAGGUGUAGCGGUGAAAUGCGUAGAGAUCUGGAGGAAUACCGAUGGCGAAGGCAGCCAUCUGGCCUAACACUGACGCUGAGGUGCGAAAGCAUGGGGAGCAAACAGGAUUAGAUACCCUGGUAGUCCAUGCCGUAAACGAUGUCUACUAGCCGUUGGGGCCUUUGAGGCUUUAGUGGCGCAGCUAACGCGAUAAGUAGACCGCCUGGAGACGCCA